rnacentral:lncRNA from 1 species
CUUCAAUAACUCCCACAAGCACCUCAUUACUCAUAAUACUGUGACAUCCUGAGUUGUAAAAGAGGUGCUGUUAUAUAACACAGGCACUGUAUAGCAGCCUUAGGUUAUGAAUAUUAAGAGACAAUCUCAAAUGAGAUAAUAUCAAUAAAGACCUCCUGUCGUCUCUACCCAAGAAAUAAACUAAAGGAAGGCAGUGUCCUUGCAGGCAUUUUGACAUCAGGGAUGGGCAAAAACAUACAUCCAUUUAAGAAUUCUAGAAUCAGAGACUAGGAAGAGUUGAAACAACCUUACAGAUCACUUGAUGCACUUUAUAUAGACCCAGGGGAGAAACAAAAAGACCAACUACUAAAGCUGCUAAAACAAGAUAAAGCAUACUGCAAGGGAAAGGCUGGAGCAGUUCACUGGCUGAAGUUAUAAACUCCAUCAAGAGACACACAAUCAGAUGGCACAACUGUCUUCAGUGGGUCACAGUUUUCCAAAUACAAAGGCGGUGCCUACCGAAGCUCUGGGAUUCUGGAAAAUAUACUGGACUUGGAGACAAAUCAGAAUAAAACAAUUCAACUUUCAAGGUAUUAAAAGGAUUCACCAACUCCUAUCUCUUAACACAAUGGCCAAAAAACUGCUGGACUCAAGGCACAGUCAUGUAUUCCUGGCAUAAGGCCUGCCUGGGUGUUCUAACUCAAUGAGCCCCACAUGCCAGACUAUUUCCACAGAGCUGAUAUGGGACAGGAAGGGCUAAGGAACUUCAAAACUAAUAGUUUGGUGCAACUGAUAUGGACCUGUGCAGUCACUGACCACAUGUAGCACUGAGAACUUGAAAUGUUGCAAGUGUGACUGAGGAAGUGAAUUAUUAAAACUUAUUUUUAACUAAAUUUAAAAGGUGAUAGCUAAUUCAGUCACUAGAAACAUUUUAAGUAUGUAAGUCUACUUUUCCAAUCGUAAGUUUUAUGAAAUCUAACCAACUAUUUAUGAAAAAAAUUCAGUGUCUAAAUUGAAGAUGUGCUAUAAAUGCACAUUAUAUAGGAGAUUUAAAAGACCUGGUCUGAAAAAAAAAAAGAAAGCAAAUAUUUCACUAGAUUUUUUUAUUGAUUAUAUGUUGAAAUAAUGUUUUGAAUACAUUGGUUUAAAUACAAAUAUUAUUUAAAUUGCUUUUGCCUAUUUCUUUUCACUUUUUCUACUGUGGCUACUAGAAAAUUUGAAAUUACAUAUGUGCCUUGUGUUCUAUGUCCAUUAGACUGGGCCAACCUAGACCAUAAUUCUCAUUCUCUCUAAUGAAGUCUCAUCCAACAAUAUGGACCACUUGAGAAACCUGCUCAUUGUUCCUCUGUCCAGUUCAUUCCACUUUAAUGCCAUGUUUCUUUGGUCUCCCAUGUGCCAGGCAUUGUUCUAGGCUAAGAAUACACCAUGUGGGCUCUUAACUGACUGUAGGCAAUAAACAAAGAACAACAAAAAAAAUUGUAUAAUUUCAAGUGCUGUGCAGAACUUAAACUAGGGAAAAGUAAUGGAGAGAGACUGGGUGAUGUGUUUAUGCUGAGUGGUGAGGGGAACUGCUGUGGGGAGGUCCUGGGGCUGUAAUCUGAACAGCAGGGAGCCACCCAUGCCAGGCUGGGACAAACAACUGGUCAAAGAACUUCGCAAGGAAUAAGUUGAAGUGCUUGAAGAAGGAAAAGAACAUCAGUGUGACUGGAGUACUGCUGUGCAGAGGGAUGUAGGAGAGGACAUCCUAGCAUGCACACUGCACUGAGAAUCUGGACUCAUGCUUAAGCCUCUUCUCUCACAUCAACUAGGCUUGGAUCCUGGGUAAGUCACUUCUCCACUCAGGAUGGCCUCCAUUUCCUCAUGCACUAAACACAGUGGCAAUUACUAAAGGAUCUUCCUUUCAGGUCUGACGGCAUAGACUUUUGUGACUCUUCUGUAUAUUCUAGGGAAUAAAAGUCCUGUCCUAGAAAAUUAAAGAAAGAGGAAACAAACAGAAACACUCUGACCCUUUAAAGAUUUAGCAACUGCUUAUCUGAUGCUUACCUUUCUCUUCCUCUCCCUCUUCUUUAAAAAAAUGAAAAUUACAUGACAUCUAGCCAACCCACUCUCAUAUAACAUCAAAGGGUAAACUUCUAAAUUCCCUGUUGUACACACAAGAAUGUUUUCCUCCAAAAUCUGGACCACCUUCCUCACAAAUACAAUCAGAUGUCCUGCACAGAGACUGCCCUUCUUUAUAAUUAGACUACAAUUCCUAUGAAAGUCAAUAUUUUCUAGUUUUCAGAACUUUACGUUUUCGAAGUAUUCCUUGAACUUCGGGAAAUUUGGAGGAUUGUCAGGCUGGCAAUGAUUCUGCCAAAAGUUUCUUCUGUGGCAAAACAUUAUCAAGGAGACCACAUCUAUAAAAGCCACAUCUCCAGGGAAAGAAUAAAAUACCUGGUCAUACUCAUUUAUCAUUAUGAUUUAAUAAUGCAAAAGAGAGGCCCAUGGGACUACAUCCAGGGCGAACUUCAAUUACAUCUCUAACCCAGGGGCAUAUGACAAAUGUUUAACAAUCAGCCCUUCACCAGCCAUCUCCAGCCCUUACAUGGAACCUCCAUACUGGUUUUCAGAGAAUGAGACUUAGGACGGGUUCAUAGAGGAGAGGAGGAAGAUGCAGUAAGUUGUAUUUGUAACAUGAUACAUGAGAACCAGGAACAAGGUCCUAGCAAUGGAAGCGAGAUGAGGUUUUACUUUAUAUUCAGAGAGAUGGGAGGAGUAGGGGAGCACAUGAUGAUGAUGGUAAGAAUAACAUCAGCCCAACAUUUAUAGCACUUUUUAAAAUGCUUUGUAUAUAUUAAACCAAUCAAACAU